rnacentral:tRNA from 1 species
GGAGCCAUGGCUCCAUAGUAGAGUGUUUGCCUAGCAAGUGGGAGGCCCUGAGUUCAAACCUCAGUACCUCUC